UAUCGCUUUUGACAGUCGCACUGUGUAACAGUGUGCAGGGCUGCCAACUUGUUUUAGCAUGACAGCUGGUCUGGCCAAAUUGCGCGCUCCAUUCAAACAUCUAGAAACAAAUUACAGCCCUGCUGGAUAUAAUUAACAUCUGGCAAUGCUGUUCAUAACAGCUGUUAUUGCGGUUUGUUUACUUCUUUUGCAGCAGCUGCCAUUCACAUGUUGCCGUUAAUGCGUAUACGCAACAAUGUUUGAUGUGCAAUCUCUCGAAUUCAAAUUGUAGUUUCGAAUCAGAAUGGAAGUGUGGGUCAGACAACAAGACAUGGACAAAUGCAACAGCAACAGUAACAACAAUGCAAUGUUGGCGCCACUGGGGCAACACACACGCCGGCGCCACAAGUGAGAUCUGUUGAUUAGAGGAGAUCACGCGAAAACAACAACAAUCAAGUAGCAAGGAUGAUGAACAUGAUUGUGUGCAUGUGUGUGUGCCAACGCACGAUUUGUGCAUAGUCUGUCUCUGUAGUGCUGUCUGUUUGCCUAGUAAUCAGAUAAAAAUAUAUUAUGACGUACCAGACUGACUUUUCAUUGUUAAUUGAGCGGCGUUGGCGGCAGCCGCAAAACAAAACAAAACACAAAAAAACCUUUCUGGCAACGUCUGACCAACAAAACCCCGGCCCUGAAUGAUUCGAGAUUGAGACGUGCUUGAUAUCUGUUGGCAUCAGCAGCUCAAUCUCACUGUCGUCG